rnacentral:misc_RNA from 1 species
CUAUUCUCUAUUGUGGUAUUUUUUUAAAUAUACAAAAUUGAUUUAUCAAAAUAUAUAGACAAUGAGUAUGGUUAACAAAUUUUCAAAUCGGUUUUAUGUAUAAUAACAUUGGCCCCUCAAAAAAAUUCUAGCUCCGCCCCUGUGGUUAUUAUUUGACCAAUUUCACUAGUGAACAUCAUUGCAGUUGCAGAAAUUAAUGCAAGAAUUAUGUCUUUAUAUGCAUAAUUGCAUUGACACUUAAUAAUGUUAAGAUGUUGAACGUAUGGAGAAUACUUGUAGAUAACAAUUAGCUUCAGCAUCAGCUAUCUAGUCUCUUUCAUGUCAUCAACAGCAACUAUCUUCUUUGUAUAUCUAGCAAACAAUAAGUCUCUUAAUUAAUCAUAUUUAAUCAUAGUGGUUGAUAUAUUACUAUUUUGUAUGCCAAUUUUAAGUUGUUGAAAUUCUUUUAUUUUUUCUUGGUUUGUCUGUUGGCAGUUUAAUCCCCAGCAUGAACUGAG